CACAUGUUCACGUCCCGAAGCAAUUAAGCGUUAGUGCAAAACUCAGGCGUGUUAGCUGGAUCUUCAUGCUUUCUCUGCCUGUUGACUAGAAUUGUGCAACGCCUUUGGAAGACCUCAACAAAAUAUACCAAAGUGAUGCAGGCAACUAUCACAAAGAUGAUGUUACAUCCGAGCGGUGAGAAUGCCAAAUUCUGCACCAACGACCCUCUCUUGGCUUUCCCUUUUGUGUUCUCAUUGGUGGUUUUAGUAUCUCCAUUGGGUGUUGCAAAUGUUGCUGAUGAUGGCAAAUACCUGAGACCAAGAAGUAAAUUGUCGCACAUGAAUUUGAGAUUCCAAAGCCAGGGACAUGAGCGAGCAGUCAAUGGAAUUCUCCCCUGAGUGCCUCGCAUUCACCACCAUGAAGAAUGCAUUGACAGUCUUCUGAUAAGAGCUGAGCCCAUCAAACACUGAAGAAUUCCAAUCAACGGCGCAGAACAUCGUGACCCCAGCUGCUACAAGGCCAACGACCGUCGAGGAGAGAAAUGCAGUCGGCAACCUAGGAAGCAGAUUAGCAAAAUGCACCUCCUCAGGGUUCUUGAUCAUGUGCCGCAGCUCCUUCACCUUUGUGAGCCUCCCCAGGAACCAUACCAAUAGUCUCAGGAAGAGAGGGAACAAUGUGUUGCCUGCCAGAAUCUGGCCACUGAGCAGCAGCAAGAGGCCUGAAUUCUUUGAGAAGAUAACCAUGUUUUCAUUUGUGGGCACGAGUCCUGCAUUCGCACAGGAAGCGACGGUGACUGAUAGUGAGAAGAGCACGAUGUUGAUCCCUUUCUUGUUCAGUGGGGCACUUGCAGUUGGCACAUGAGUUAUAUACAGAAAAACCAGCAGAAAGCCCAAGACAUGGAUCACGGCAAAGUACCCAAAGACCACAUAUCCUAAGCACUUGACAGGCCUACUCCUCUUCAACUCUGUACAUUUCUUGGGUGGAAUUGCAUGAGCUGCUUCUUCAAGCUGCGACUCAUCACAGAGUGCCACGCUAUUCGCCAAGUCUAUCUCUUGAAGCUCGACAGGAACUGAGCUGAUCUUCAUGCUUGGAAGAUCUGGCAUGUCUUGAUGGUUCACUCUAAGCAUGAGGCCUAAGAGUGAAACAAAGAUCUCCCCUCCUGCAAGCAUGAGCAGUGUCAAGACCACAAUUUGAGAGCUUGAGAGGUCCUCCAUCGUGAUGGCGCUGAGGCCAGAAACUGUUAGAGCAGAAGUUGACAAGAAUAACAUGUCAAUGUAAGGAGGGCUGAAGUCAGGGUUGCUUGGUUUCAGCGACAUCAAGAGGACUGAACCAAGUAUAGCAAUGGCAAGGAAGUAGGACAGUUGGAUCCAGAAGGGGUGAACAUGCAAUGCAACAAAUCGAUAGACAAAAGCUAUUGAAUCGACAACAUAUCUACUGAUACGGCAAAAGCUAUGCAGCUUGAUAUGGAUGAAAUCCUGGUACUACUCAUGUUCUCUGGAAAAUGUUCUGCAGUUGGAUUGGUGAUCAUGCUGAGUGAAAAAGCUCAUUCUUCAGUUUAUUAGUUUAUUCUACGAUGAUGCUGAUACUUGCAGCUGUGGAAGGUUGCACUUGCAUCCCACAUUACUAGGAACCGACCUGGCGGAUCAUAUUCCUUGCGUACCGCGGGGGAUAGAGAUCAAACGCUCACCCCUAAAAAGAAAAUCCCUGGUACGCAAUCACGCGAGCGCCAUGAGCUAUAUGGAUCGGCCCAUUCUGGACCGGU